GGGGAAUAUUGGACAAUGGGCGCAAGCCUGAUCCAGCCAUGCCGCGUGAGUGAUGAAGGCCUUAGGGUUGUAAAGCUCUUUCGGCGGGGAAGAUAGUGACGGUACCCGCAGAAGAAGCCCCGGCUAACUUCGUGCCAGCAGCCGCGGUAAUACGAAGGGGGCUAGCGUUGCUCGGAAUCACUGGGCGUAAAGCGCACGUAGGCGGUUCGGUAAGUCCGAUGUGAAAGCCCUGGGCUCAACCUGGGAACUGCAUUGGAUACUGGCGAGCUAGAGUGCGGUAGAGGAUGGUGGAAUUCCCGGUGUAGCGGUGAAAUGCGUAGAGAUCGGGAGGAACACCAGUGGCGAAGGCGGCCAUCUGGACCAGCACUGACGCUGAGGCACGAAAGCGUGGGGAGCAAACA
rnacentral:rRNA from 1 species